rnacentral:rRNA from 1 species
UACAGAGGUCUCAAGCGUUGUUCGGAUUCAUUGGGCGUAAAGGGUGCGUAGGUGGCGCUGUAAGUCGGGUGUGAAAUUUCGGAGCUUAACUCCGAAACUGCAUUCGAUACUGCGGUGCUUGAGGACUGGAGAGGAGACUGGAAUUCAUGGUGUAGCAGUGAAAUGCGUAGAGAUCAUGAGGAAGACCAGUGGCGAAGGCGGGUCUCUGGACAGUUCCUGACACUGAGGCACGAAGGCCAGAGGAGCAAACGGG